UCAAUUGCAAUAUCUAGGCGCACAGCAAGAUCAAGAACGUUUCCAUGCACGCAAUCCAAGUGUUCUCUGAGCGUUCCAUUAGGAACAUACUCCAUGACGACAAUUCUUUCUUCUUCUUGUUGCAAAAACCCAUAGAACUUUACUAGAUUCAAGUGCUCCACUUGUGCUAGCGUCCGAAUCUCACUCUUAAAUUCUACACCCAAAUGUUUAUCGUGUACACUCUUCUUGGCACGCUUGAUUGCAACAAGGGUUCCAUCUUGAAGUCUCCCCUUGUAUACAGUCCCAAAGCCACCUUGUCCAAUCUUGAAGGAUGGG
rnacentral:misc_RNA from 1 species